rnacentral:lncRNA from 1 species
UUGUUGGAAGAGAUGGAGGGAAAGAAGUUGGAUUUUGGUAUUGUAACUUACAAUAUUCUUAUUGAAGGUUUGUGCAAAGCUGAAAAAGUUGAAUAUGCAUGGGAUCUCUUCCGUCGUUUAUCAUCAAAAGGAAUUCAACCUAAUGUCAGGACAUAUACUAUAAUGAUCAGUGGAUUUUGUAAUGGCGGACUUACAUGUGAAGCAGAAAACUUGCUUAGAGAAAUGGAAGAGAGAGAUUGUUCUCCAAAUGAUUUCACGUACAACACAAUUAUCCGUGGGUUAUUCAAUAACAACGAGACAUCAAAGUCUGUGAGGCUUAUUCAAGAAAUGGUGGAGAGGGGUUUUUCUGCAGAUGCAUCAACUACGGAGUUGGUCGUUAAUUUAUUGUCUAAAGACAAAGUAGAUCCCACUUUGUUGAAAUUUAUAGAAAGACCGUGUUGAAAUUUAUUUGCAGUUUUGACGAGUUUGGCUGCAUCCUUCCCUUGAAUGCUGCAUUGGAGGGAGUUGUUCCUGUGCUGAGUCCAGUUCAAGGAGCCAUUCAUGCAUCGCCUGGUGACUUAUGGUAUCUGUUAUUAAUUUUAUCUAUCAAGUGAUAGAGCAACUUUUAUGUUGCUCUUUUAAGAUUGUGAAAUUUGUUGGAGAAGCAAAUUUUGUGGACUGAUAUGAAAUUCGUAAACAUAUUUAUGGCUUGGUUUAACUUCUCCUUUAUUUUUUUGGUAAUAAUUCUGUUAAGGACAUUAUUUAUAAAUAAUUUUAAAGGAUAUGAGUCCGAUAGCUGCAGGUGGAGGACUCGAUUAAUUUCUUAAAAUUCUGCACUUCCUCUAACAUCAGAUACAAUAUAAACACAUCUGAUCAAAUGAUGCAUCGGAAUUCCAUCACGAAAGGACCAAUCUAAUCCGAUCAACUGAUGUCAGACGUGGUUAAACGAAGAAUUUACGAAUUCCAUCUUUGCUUAAAUAUGUUUUCUAUGUGCACUAGAAAUAUUGAAAGAAGAGAAGGCCAUCUCUCAGUAUACAGAAGCCAAUUUACACAUUUUCAAGCAUUCAGGCAAGGAAGAGUAUUGUGAAGCUUCUUUUCAGACGCAUAAUUGUGCAAUCCCCAGUGCUAGAUCAUCGGUAUCCAGAUGCCUUGCCACACCAUCGCAAUUUUUCUUUCACUCCCUUCCAAACCAAAGGAACUCAACGGAAGAAAUUGAACUGGCCUCUUCUCAGUGAUGCACGAGAUUUGCAGAAAACUUCUUAGUUGCAAACAGCGUCCUAAACCUUUAUGCUUACCACACUCAGAAAUGCUAUUGUUGAAUUUAUUUAGUUUAACAUUAGUGGUCAACUUAUUUCUCACCAACAACCAACCAAAAAAUUUCAUUUUGUGAGGAAUAUUUAGUUUCCAAAUUUUGUUAAGUAGUCCCUUAAACAUGUGACAUUGGUUAUCAUCAAUUUGAAUUAUGUGAGUUGAUUUAACUGAGAACUCUCCAUUACAGGUAGGGCCCCAAAUCAGCUUAUCUUCAACAUCACUGAUUGGAAUAGGAAUGGCUAAAAUUUUGUCAACAUUCCAACUUGUAUCCAUCAUCACAUUACUCACUUUUUUUAUUUAUUUUUUAUUUAUGUAAAUUUGACCGCAAAGUCCGUCCCACUCCAGCAUUGCUAUCAUGGGAAGAGACUUUGAGGAUAAUUUAUUGAUAAACAAGAAAAAUACAAUAUGUCAGGAGGGACAUGAGGCCAAACCCAUACCAUUUAAGAAUUCAUAACAACAAUUCAAAACCUAUUUUAGCAAAACCUAUAAAAAUGAAGAUUAGGAUGGUUGUGAGAAUAAGCAGUUGCAACACAAGGAGGGCAUGAAUCCCACCAAUGGACAGCGGGGUGAUCAACACCAUAAUUGCCCAAACAAUCAGUAACUUGAUUACCCUCUCUAAAAAUAUGAGAAAUCAGGACCUGCAUGGAGGAUAUUAAAACUCGACAGUUAUGCCAACUGACCAACAGCCUCCAAGGGAUAGAUGUCAAGGAAGGUGAGGAUGAAGAAAGAAGAUGAACAACCAGCGAGGAGUCACAUUCAAUCCAUAAGGAAUGCCGACCUUUAUCCCAAGCUAGAGAUACAUCACAUUACUCACUUUAAGGUUCCAACUAAAAGGGCUAAAUAUAGUCUCGUCUAAAAUUAUAGUCAUAUAAGAAAUUAUUUUUAAAAUGAAGCCACAUUCAUAUAUGGAUAAUAUUAGAAAGAUUAAAAUUUUUAAACCAAAUCUGAAAACUAAAUGAUGUGUUUGUAGAUAAUUGGAUUAUUAAUUAAGUGUCGAUUAACAUACGAGUUUUGUAUUCGUUACACAUCAUUUAGUUUGCACAUUUAAUUUAAAAUUUUGGUCAUCCUAACAAUACUCUUCAUAUAUCAUAUUCAAUUGAAAGUGCAAAACAUAACUUUACAUAAAUUUCUGAAUAAUUUAUUAGUUUUAAGUUUAUUAUUUUAAUUUAGAGUAAACUGUCGAUUUGCCCCCUGAACUUUUUAAUUGGAAAAUUAAGGACUUAAACUAAUUUUUUUGGCCGAUUUCCCCCCUACCGUUAGUUUUUCAUAAAUUUCAUCCAAAUUAACGUUAACUCUUAUCAUGUGCAAACCACGUAACUCUCAUUUGUGGACAAAAGCGUCAUUUCACUAGACCUUCAGACAGAAAAGCUAUAGAAUCACACAUAUUUGCAUAGGUUUAUAUUUUAGAAAUCUACGGUUUUCAAUUAUUUUAAAGAAUGAAGUGACCGAACUACCCACACAUGUUGUGCAUAUGCUUCCAUUUAACAGAAAUUUGGAUGGAAUGAAUGAAAAAUUAACAGCAUGGGGCAAAUCGGCCAAAAAAAUUAGUUUAAGUCCUUAAUUUUCCAAUUAAAAAGUUCAAGGGGCAAAUCGAAAGUUGGGUGAUAGUUCAGGGGGCAAAUCGACAGUUUACUCUUUAAUUUAUUGAUACAAACGCCCCUCUAGGCUAAACAAUUGUCUAGCUCCUGGUUUAUAAUGUAGCCAAGUGUCCCAAAUAAAGUAAUGGCCUAAAACAAACAAUAAUACCCCAUAUAAAUUUGUCAUAAGUUUUCUUCCGGUGAUACAAACGAUGCCUCUCAACUACUAGUUUUCUUCCGGCCGUUGGAUUUGAAUUAAUUUAUGCAGCAUAAGAGCUAGGCCCUAGAAAACGGGCUGAAUCGCUGAAGAUGAUGCGGGCAACGAUUGCUGCUGCUGCUUCUUUGAAGGUUGGUUAUGGCAGCAGAAGCAGCACCACCAGACUGAAACUCAAACUCAGAGGUAUGCUGCCUUGUCUCUUCAAUCUUCUUCUGUUGUUGUUUUCUUCAACAAUUACUUGGCUUUCUUUCACUCUCGAAACACCCAACACCACCAGCUUGUGAAAAUCACCAAUGUUGAGGAUGCUCUCAAUAUGUUCGACGAAAUGCUUCAAAGGCGUCCUCUGCCUUCCGUUGUCCUUUUCACUCAAGUGUUGGCUCAACUUGUCAAGUUGAAGCAUUACUCGACAGUCAUCUCCUUGAAUAACCAAAUGGUUGUGUCAGGAAUUCGUCCUAAUGUUUAUACCUUACACAUUAUCAUGAAUUGCUUUUGCCAUAUGCACCAAAUGGGGUUUAGCUUGUCUAUUUUGGGAAAAUUCUUCAAAUUUGGUUUUGAACCUGAUGUCGCAACCAUCAACACUCUAAUCAACGGCUUUCUUCUUGAGGAUAGAGAGUCUAAGGCAGCAGCACUUUUCAACAAAAUGAUGGAGGGAGGUAAUUGCAAGCCGAAUGCGGUUACUUUCGGUACCCUAGUAAAGGGCCUUUGCGCGAAAGGUAACAACACUGCAGCAAUCCAGUUGCUUAAGAAGAUGGAUGAAAGAGGUUGCAAGCCUGACGUAGUUGUCUAUAGCACGAUCAUCGACAGUCUUUGCAAGGAUACUCAAGUUGUUGAUGCAUGGAAGCUCUUCUCAGAAAUGACGAGCAAGGGUAUUGCCCCAAAUGUCAUUACCUAUACUCUUUGGUUCAUGGAGUUUGCAAAUUAGGAAAUUGGAAAGAAGCUACAAGAUUGUUGAAUGAAAUGGUGAGUAAACAUAUCUUUCCAGAUGUGUGCACCUUCAGUGUUUUGGUUGAUACAUUUUGUAAAGAGGGGAUGGUCCAGGAAGCAAGGAGCGUGGUCGAAAUGAUGACGCAAAGGAAUAUAGCACCCGAUACAAUUACUUACAAUUCGCUUAUAGAUGGUUACUGUUUGCGAGGAGAAAUGGACGAGGCGAAAAAGGUUUUUGAAAUAAUGCUUAGCAAAGGGUGCAUGGUCGAUGCUCAUACUUAUAGCAUAUUGAUAAAUGGCUAUUGUAAGCAUAAAAGGAUAGAUGAUGCUCGGAUGAUUUUUCUGGAAAUGUCUCAUAAGGGAGUUGUUCCAAAUACGGUUACUUACAACACUCUUAUUGAUGGGUUUUGCAAGAUGGGGAGAACACAAGAUGCGCAAAACUUGUUCUCUCAAAUGCAAGCUUGUGGCCAACUUCCAGGCAUUCAAACGUAUAAUAUUUUAUUGGAUGGCCUUUGUAAAAACCAACAAUUUCCCAAGGCAGUUGAAUUGUUGGAAGAGAUGGAGGGAAAGAAGUUGGAUUUUAACAUUGUAACUUAUAAUAUUCUUAUUGAAGGUUUGUGCAGAGCUGAAAAAGUUGAAUAUGCAUGGGAUCUCUUUUGUAGUUUAUCAUCAAAAGGAAUUCAACCUAAUGUCAGGACAUAUACUAUAAUGAUCAGUGGAUUUUGUAAUGGGGGACUGACAUGUGAAGCAGAAAAGUUGCUUAGAGAAAUGGAAGAGAGAGAUUGUUCUCCAAAUGAUUGCACGUACAACACAAUUAUCC